rnacentral:rRNA from 1 species
UACAGAGGGGGCAAGCGUUGUUCGGAAUUACUGGGCGUAAAGGGCGCGUAGGCGCCUUCUAAGUCGAACGUGAAAUCCCCGGGCUCAACCCGGGAACUGCGUCCGAUACUGGGAAGGCUUGAAUCCGGGAGAGGGAUGCGGAAUUCCAGGUGUAGCGGUGAAAUGCGUAGAUAUCUGGAGGAACACCGGUGGCGAAGGCGGCAUCCUGGACCGGCAUUGACGCUGAGGCGCGAAAGCCAGGGGAGCAAACGGG